rnacentral:lncRNA from 1 species
UCAGCUGUUUCUGUAAUAUGCUAUGAAUCAUUGAAUGUGCCAAAAGAGUCUUCUUUGAAUGUGCAUAGUUUGUUAUCACUAUCAGUAUCAGGAUAUUUAAAAUAAUUAAAAUACAUCUAUAAGAGAAUUAAGAAUACUUCGAAAAAAUCGAUACGGUAAGGUACGCGGAACACAGUUUUAUCUCUUAUCGGUCGUCAUUUCCUGUGUUAGUUUUCAUGUAUAAUUUUCGGUAUGGAUGAAUUCGAUAAAAAAACACAACAUUAUCAGAUCACAUCAUCAGGGAACUGAAAGGUGGACUUGGGGAAAUGAAGUUGCAGUCUAUGGUCCUGUUUGCCCUGUGUUGUAGGACAAAAUCUGAAGAAGCUUCUUCUCUGCACAUCAACUGAAAUUAAGAAGAUGUUUGAGAACAUCAAAAAUGACAGUCAAAAUACAGCAAUGGAAAAUAAGACUGCUGGUUGUCCAAGAGUGACAUUAACCCCAUCAUAAAUUACCUUCUUGAAAAACAAAAAAAAGACAGACUGAGAGGAAGGGUUUCAAUGAUGGCACAGACUCAAUUACAGGUCUACCAGCUACCCCAACCAAAGAAGUUUCUGUAAAGAAAGGAGUACUUCCAACCCAGCUCUGUUUCGUUAUACUGUGCAUAAGGCAGAAGUGGUAUAAUGAAAUAAUAUAAUUGACAGCAUCAACAACAAAAAAUUAUGAAUUUUUCCAUUGAUUGGUGGUGGAGGGGAUAAUAUUGUUGUCAGUUUGAGAAGUAGGAGAAAAAGUAAAUGACUCGGAUCAAAGACCUUUUCUGAACAGAUUGAGAAAACAGAAGUCUACAAAACAGAUCAAAGAUGAUAAAAAGGACGAUGUUUAUGCUCUGGAAAGAAAAAGAUGCUGUUGGAAAUAGAGGACAUUGAGUAAAAGAAAAGCAAAGACCAACAGCUAUUUCUGUUAGAAAAAU